rnacentral:rRNA from 1 species
GGAUCCAGACUUUGAUCAUGGCUCAGGAUGAACGCUAGCUACAGGCUUAACACAUGCAAGUCGAGGGGAAACGACAUCGAAAGCUUGCUUUUGAUGGGCGUCGACCGGCGCACGGGUGAGUAACGCGUAUCCAACCUGCCCAUCACUUGGGGAUAACCCUGCGAAAGUAAGACUAAUACCCAAUGAUAUCUCUAGAAGACAUCUGAAAGAGAUUAAAGAUUUAUCGGUGAUGGAUGGGGAUGCGUCUGAUUAGCUUGUUGGCGGGGUAACGGCCCACCAAGGCGACGAUCAGUAGGGGUUCUGAGAGGAAGGUCCCCCACAUUGGAACUGAGACACGGUCCAAACUCCUACGGGAGGCAGCAGUGAGGAAUAUUGGUCUAUGGACGAGAGUCUGAACCAGCCAAGUAGCGUGCAGGAUGACGGCCCUAUGGGUUGUAAACUGCUUUUAUAAGGGAAUAAAGUGAGAGUCGUGACUCUUUUUGCAUGUACCUUAUGAAUAAGGACCGGCUAAUUCCGUGCCAGCAGCCGCGGUAAUACGGAAGGUCCGGGCGUUAUCCGGAUUUAUUGGGUUUAAAGGGAGCGUAGGCCGGAGAUUAAGCGUGUUGUGAAAUGUAGACGCUCAACGUCUGCACUGCAGCGCGAACUGGUUUCCUUGAGUACGCACAAAGUGGGCGGAAUUCGUGGUGUAGCGGUGAAAUGCUUAGAUAUCACGAAGAACUCCGAUUGCGAAGGCAGCUCACUGGAGCGCAACUGACGCUGAAGCUCGAAAGUGCGGGUAUCGAACAGGAUUAGAUACCCUGGUAGUCCGCACGGUAAACGAUGGAUGCCCGCUGUUGGUCUGAAUAGGUCAGCGGCCAAGCGAAAGCAUUAAGCAUCCCACCUGGGGAGUACGCCGGCAACGGUGCAACUCAAAGGAAUUGACGG